CACGUAGGGCGCGAGCGUUGUCCGGAAUUAUUGGGCGUAAAGAGCUCGUAGGCGGUCUGUCGCGUCGGCUGUGAAAACUCGGGGCUCAACUCCGAGCUUGCAGUCGAUACGGGCAGGCUAGAGUUCGGCAGGGGAGACUGGAAUUCCUGGUGUAGCGGUGAAAUGCGCAGAUAUCAGGAGGAACACCGAUGGCGAAGGCAGGUCUCUGGGCCGUUACUGACGCUGAGGAGCGAAAGCGUGGGGAGCAAACAGG
rnacentral:rRNA from 1 species